rnacentral:rRNA from 1 species
GACGAACGCUGGCGGCGUGCUUAACACAUGCCAGUCGAACGGAAAGGCCCUGCUUUUGUGGGGUGCUCGAGUGGCGAACGGGUGAGUAACACGUGAGUAACCUGCCCUUGACUUUGGGAUAACUUCAGGAAACUGGGGCUAAUACCGGAUAGGAGCGCCUGCUGCAUGGUGGGGGUUGGAAAGUUUCGGCGGUUGGGGAUGGACUCGCGGCUUAUCAGCUUGUUGGUGGGGUAGUGGCUUACCAAGGCUUUGACGGGUAGCCGGCCUGAGAGGGUGACCGGCCACAUUGGGACUGAGAUACGGCCCAGACUCCUACGGGAGGCAGCGGUGGGGAAUAUUGCACAAUGGGCGGAAGCCUGAUGCAGCAACGCCGCGUGCGGGAUGACGGCCUUCGGGUUGUAAACCGCUUUCGCCUGUGACGAAGCGUGAGUGACGGUAAUGGGUAAAGAAGCACCGGCUAACUACGUG